rfam:Candidatus Nealsonbacteria bacterium RIFOXYB1_FTLL_40_15 rifoxyb1_full_scaffold_831, whole genome shotgun sequence.
UAAAUAGUAAUUUUAAGGGCAGGUGGAGGAUGCCUUGGGAUAUUGAGGCGAUGAAGGGCGUGGCGUGACUGCGAUAAGCCUCGGGGAGGUGUCUAGCAACCUUUGAUCCGAGGAUUUCCGAAUGGGGAAACCCAAUGUGGCAAACCCGCAUUACUCCGAUGCAAAUCGGAGAGCGAACCCGCCGAAGUGAAACAUCUCAGUAAGCGGAGGAAAAGAAAAAUAAUUUUCAUUCCCUUAGUAGCGGCGAGCGAAGAGGGAGAAGCUCAAACUCCAUAUUUAUAUGGAGGGUUGUAAGAAGAUUGCUUCAGGGAAACCUGAAAAGAGAAUAAGGAGUUAGAAGAACAGCCCUGGAAAGGGCGGCCAUAGAAGGUAAUAGCCCUGUAUUUUAAAACUUCUUAGACCCUUGCAGUCUCUCUUGAGUAUCUCGGGAAAAGAUAGCCCCGAGAGAAACAGGCCGUACUAAUCGGCCAAAGCUAAAUACUCAAUAUCACCGAUAGCGAACUAGUACCGUGAGGGAAAGGUGAAAAGCAGGGGGGCGACCCCGGUGAAACAGAAUCUGAAACCAUUUUGCCCACAAGGAGUCAGAGCCCCGCUUCGGCGGGGUGAUGGCGUGCCUAUUGAAGAAUGAGCCAACGACUUGUAUUACAUAGCUUGUCUAAGUCCUUACGGGACGGAGACUCAGGGAAACCAAGUGUUAAAAGCGCGAAUUUGCUAUGUGGUACAGACCCGAAGCCAAGCGAGCUUGCCAUGGCCAGGAUGAACUCCGAUGAAAAUUGGAGGGAGGUCCGAACUCGUGAGCUGUGCAAUACUCUGGGAUGAGCUGUGGUAAGUAGUGAAAAGCUAAUCGAGCUUGGUAAUAGCUGGUUCUCUCCGAAAUAGCUUUAGGGCUAGCCUUUGUUUUAUCUCUCCGGAGGUAGAGCACUGAAUGGGAUUUCUUGGGCUUUGCCCGGAUCUCCCAAUCAAACUCCGAAUGCCGGAGAGUUUUGGCAGAGAGUUAGACUGUGGGGGCUAAGCUCCAUGGUCGAAAGGGAAAGAGCCCAGAUCUUAAUCUAAGGUCCCUAAACUAAGUUAAGUGUGCUUAAGGAUGUGAAAUUCCACUGAUAGCUAGGAGGUUAGCUUAGAAGCAGCUAUCCUUUAAAAAGUGCGUAAUAGCUUACUAGCUAAGGAGUCUCGCGCCGAAGAUUUACGGGACUAAACUUAGUACCGAAGAUAAGAUUCUGCAUAUGAUUCGUCAUGUGCAGGAGGUAGGAGAGCAUUCUGUUGGCGCUGAAGCCCCGUUGUGAAGCGGGGUGGAGCCUACAGAAGAGAGAAUGUUGGCAUGAGUAACCACAAGUCCGAUUAAAACUCGGACCACCGAAAACCCGAGGUUUCCUUGGCAAUGACAAUCAUCCAAGGGUUAGGCGGCCCUAAUCCGUUCGCUGAAAAGUGGGCGGAGAUGGACAGCCGGUUAAUAUUCCGGCCCUUCCAUUUAUUCUAAGCAGUGACGCAGUUGCGUAGUUCAGAGGGAUUAUUGGAUUUCCUCACUCCCGUUUCGGCGGGGGGUUCUGAACGAAGCGAUUGCCCAGAAAAGCUGCAAGGUUAUGUAAAUGGAAUCCGUACUUAAACCGACACAGGUGGGUUGGUGUAAGAGCACUAAGGUGAACGAGUGAAAGCUCCUGAAGGAACUCGGCAAAUCAGCAGGCGUAACUUCGGAAUAUGCCUUUCCUCCUUCAAAAGGAGGACGCAGCUAAAGAACCCCUAGCGGCUGUUUAUCAAAAACACAGGUCCCUGCUAAACUCGUAAGAGGAUGUAUAGGGGCUGAGGCCUGACCAGUGCUGGAACGUUAACCCUGCCGGUUAUUUCACUUCGGUGGAAUAGCUGAGCGGGCGAAGCGCCAGUGAACGUCGGCGAUAACUAUAAUCGUCCAAAGGUAGCGUAAUCUCUUGCCAGGUAAGAAAUUGCCUGUCUAGAAAGUGAUUUCUAGUAUGCAUUCGGCUAAUAACGGUGAAGCCCGGUUAUUCUAUGCUAUAAUAGAGUAAUGGGUAAUACCGUGGGAAGUCUUAGUGACCCCGUAACGACUUUAGCUAAUAUAAGCUAGGAUGGCAGCGUAGAAACUGCCAUAAUAUGCCGACUCUUAAAUGGAUCUAGAAUCGUAUAUAAGCGGAUACGUUGACGGAGAAGGAAUAUUCUAGAAUCGUAUAAGAUGAAGAUAUAGUCUAUGCCAUUAGAAAUAAUGGAUAAAACAUGAAGUUCUGGCCCGCAUGAAAGGCUUAACGACUGGGGGACUGUCUCCAGGAGUUGCUCGGUGAAAAUACAAUAAGCGUGAAGACGCGCUUUACCUGUGGCUAGACGGAAAGACCCCAGGAGCUUUACUGUAGCUUGGCAUUGGGUUCUGAUUUUGGAUGCGUAGCGUAGGUGGGAGGCUUUGAAAUUCUGCUUUCGGGCGGAAUGGAGCCGCCAAUGAAACACCACUCUUCCAGUGUCAUUAUUCUAACUGUCGUUAAAUCGGCAAGACAGUGUCAGGUGGGCAGUUUAAGUGGGGCACUUUUCUCCUAAAAAGUAAUGGAGAAGUUUAAAGGUCAGCUAGCUCCGGAUGGAAAUCGGAGUGGUCGUGUAAAGGCAUAAGCUGGCUUUACUGCAAGAGGGAUAUCUCGCGCAGUUGGGAAACCAGAACUUAGUGAACCGACGAAUUUUCAUAGAAAAUUCGGAGAUCAGCAGAUAAAAGUUACCCUGGGGAUAACAGGCUAGUAGAGCCCGCGAGUCCAUAUCAACGGCUCUGUUCGGCACCUCGAUAAGUUAGCCGAUGUCGAGAAUAAACUGGCUCAUAACGGUGGAGGCCAUAUGCACAAACCCAGCAAAAUGUUAAAAUGCAUGUAGUGUAUGGUUAAUACCGUGGGAAGUUAUAAGGUCAAUUUUUGGACUUCUAUCAAAAAUUCUUUGUUUCUUACACAAGAACAACGAGAAAUCGUGAUAGGAUCUUUGCUUGGAGACGGAACAAUGCGAAUUGGGAAGUCGGCCAAGAAUGCAAAUCUGAAAAUUGAACAUGGCUUAAAGCAAAAAGAAUAUGUUUUUUGGAAAUACAAUUUUCUAAAAAAUUGGGUAUAUACAGAACCUAAAUUAAGUUAUAGGUUUAACGAUUGUCAUGAAAAAUAUCAGAAAUCCUGGUGGUUUAGAACGAUCAGGCAUCCAAUUUUAACUGAAAUUUGUAAAGAAUUCUAUAAAGGGAGGGAAUCCUUGGAUAGAAAAAAGAUAAUUCCCAAAAACAUAAAAAGAGAUCUAAGUCCAUUAGCGCUAUCUGUUUGGAUUAUGGACGACGGGUCGCACUCAAGAGGAAGAAUAGAUAUAAGCACUUAUUGUUUCUCUCUUGAAGAAAUAAUCUUUUUGCAAGGUUGUUUUAAGGAAAUUUAUGAUAUAAAAAUAAAUUUCUUUAAAGACAGAGAUAAGGGUUACAGAAUGUAUUGUAAUUUGUUUGACACUAAAAAAUUGAUAUCUGUAAUAAAACCCUAUAUCAUACCUUCUAUGUCCUAUAAAAUAGGCUUAUAACCCCGUAACGACUGGAUCUUCAGUUUUUUUAAGAGACUGAAGUGAAGAUAGCAGAUAUUUAACUGCUAUAACACGCCAGUAUCUGUGCACAGGCACAUAGAUAAAUGUAUAGUCUAACCUAUUAGCAAUAAUAGAAUGUAGUGGUCGGCUCAGCACAUCCUGGGGGUGGAGCAGCUCCCAAGGGUUUGGCUGUUCGCCAAUUAAAGUGUUACGUGAGCUGGGUUCAAACCGUCAACCAAAACUUGUUGCUGUUAGCAAGUUUGGCGGCCUUCGAUGGCAACAUCGGAGUGAAAAAAUCGACUCAUAUCGGUGAAGCCCGACUGUACUUUUACAACCUGAGUACAAGGGUAAUACCGAGGGAAGUCCGCUCAAGGCGGACCCCGUAGAGACUUAUAGUAAACUAUAGAUGGAUAAAAAUUCCAUAAUUACGUCGAUUACCCAUUUUAUGGGUAGUGGUAUAGUCCAUACACUUAGUGAUAAGUGAAGUAUAUGCGUGAGACAGGUUGGUCCCUAUCUACCACAGGCGCAGAAUCUUGAGGGAAUUUGACCAUAGUACGAGAGGACCUGGUUGAACUGACCUCUGGUGUACCAGCUGUUCUGCCAAGAGCAUUGCUGGGUAGCUAAGUCAGGCAGGGAUAAGCGCUGAAAGCAUCUAAGCGCGAAACCCAUCCCAAGAUUAGGAUUCAUAGAUUCCUCGGAGAUGACGAGGCGAUAGGCUGCAAGUGUAAGCCCGGUGACGGGUUAAGCUGAGCAGUACUAAUAAAUCAUCAAUUAUUUUCU